UUAGUCAACCUUUCAUGCAUCGAUGCAUUGUUUAAGUGUUCAAGAGACUUAUUGGGAAUGACGUUUGUUUACACAUGUUAGACUAGUUUGUUUACACAUGCUAAUGACGUUUUUUUUUUUUUUUGAUAAAGCACAUGCGAGUAUUGAGAAAAUAGUGUACAAGGCUUGACAUGAGGGACUACAUAUCUGUCUCCGUCAUUAACUUGUGGAAUCUGUACUAUAUCGGGAUCUAGUUAUAAUCAAGCCACUCGUCUGCCUAAGUAUUUGAUUUGGUAAGAAGGCUUUGACUUUGAGGCUGCUUUUAAAUUGUCUAACGCAAGACUUUUGACAACCUCUUAAACAUAUAUAUAGCUCAUGGUCUCACGUUCCUUAAUUAUGCACGCACUCGAAUUUUC
rnacentral:lncRNA from 1 species